GCCUUUUUCGUGUAGUGGUCAGCACACUCGACGGGUAACUGAGAGGUCCUUGGUUCGAUUCCCUGAGAAGGUG
rfam:Stegodyphus mimosarum contig33198, whole genome shotgun sequence.